GACGAACGCUGGCGGCGUGCUUAACACAUGCAAGUCGAACGAUGAAGCCAGCUUGCUGGUGGAUUAGUGGCGAACGGGUGAGUAACACGUGGGUGAUCUGCCCCAAACUUUGGGAUAAGCCUGGGAAACUGGGUCUAAUACCGAAUAUGACCGAUACUCGCAUGGGUGUUGGUGGAAAGCUCCGGCGGUUUGGGAUGGGCCCGCGGCCUAUCGGCUUGUUGGUGGGGUAAUGGCCUACCAAGGCGACGACGGGUAGCCGGCCUGAGAGGGCGACCGGCCACACUGGGACUGAGACACGGCCCAGACGCCUAUGGGACGCAGCAGUGGGGAAUAUUGCACAGUGGGCGCAAGCCUGAUGCAGCGACGCCGCGUGAGGGAUGACGGCCUUCGGGUUGUAAACCUCUUUCACCAGGGACGAAGCGAAAGUGACGGUACCUGGAGAAGAAGCACCGGCCAACUACGUG
rnacentral:rRNA from 1 species